CGAGGAAUCAGUUGGUGCGGUCGCGUUAAUCGAGGUUAGAAUUUUUAUCGGAUAUUCUUAAUGUAUUUUAUAUCUUCCUCCCCUCAUCACCCUUCUCAUCUCACCACAAGACGGAGAAAAGACGUGGAAAAGCUUGAAGAAAAAAACCGUGCGACGUCGAGUAAAGAAAAAGGCACGAGGAAAGAGGAGAAGAUGAAAAGGAAUAAGAAACAGUAGAGCAAACUGUGUCGCCUUAGCACAUGCCAGGCAUUUCGAGAUGAGGAAUCGCCAGUAGAAUCCUAAAGCAACGCCUGUAUAUGUCACAGUGGAAAAACCGUUAACCUUAAAAACCUUAAGUGAAAAACCGUUACGUACUGUUAUCACAAAUGGAAUGAAAUUUCGAGCAUCCUCUUACUCGACAAUGAUUACAAAAAACCUGUGCGCCGAUUGAAUAGCAAAAGGACAUAUUUGUACAGCAUACAAUCCCUGAAUUUCUUGUCAGAAACAAUGCUUGAAAAUUGUACAAAAAUAUGAAACAUAUUCUACUGUGAAAUUUUUCAAGAAAAUCAGAAAUCAAAUCCAAAAAAAUUAUACUCGUGGUGAAAACAAUCUAAAUAGUCUUCUGGAUGGUCACAAAAAUGAAAACUUUUUUUUUUCAUAUGUGACUUUAUGAGAAAAAGUUGGUUUACGCCUCUGAACGGAAGCCCAAGAAGAAGUUUCGUGUUUUGGUCGAAUUAGGGCCUUGUCCCUUAGCGCUAACCGUCCACGGCUCAUUAGGCCACGUCGACACGACCAGUUAAGUUCCACCGGGUUGUACAAGAAACUUGUGGUAUGAAAUUACAGUUUUCAUUAGGGUCUGAAGCAACCCUUGCCGGUAAAGAAAAUUCAAAAAUAUAUAUAACGCAUGAAUUUUUUUGAUUUUGAAAUUUAAUAGAGUAUACCGAAUUACGUAUAGUGGUAUACUGUAUUUUAUUUUUCAUUACAAAUACUACUUGGUAUAAAAUUGUUUUUUCAAUCUCAUAGUACUGAAUUUGUAAAAAAAAAGAAACACGAUAUUUCCAAAUAAAAGAGACACGAAACUUAUCUCGAAAUCAGACAUUAUAAAUGGAACUUAUGAAAGUCUGACGCAAGAGACUGGCGAUUUCGUAAAAUAUGUAUGACGAGCUGUCUACUUCUGCACUUAUUUAAUCAUUAAUUUAUUUCAAACGGAUGAAUGAAAACCUAUCACCAUUAAUGUUCGAGUCGUCAAAUCGACCAAUCAUCCUCGUUCAUUUCGCUAUUAAUUUAUAUACUGUACGAAACAAAGUAGCAAAAAAAAGAGAAGGUCUACCAUAAACAGCUUGUUACCUAAUACGGUCCGUAAUCAAGAGAAAACAAAUUUUAAGACCAACGAAAACACAAGGCCAAUUUUUAAUUUUCGUUAGCAUCGUUAAAGCUACAGUAAAUGCAUACAACGAACAAAUUUGAUAGUCGCUUAUACGUUAAAAAAAAUUCAAAGAAAUCACUCAUAACGAACCACCUGUUUUUAACAAGUGCAAAAGGCACGAUGAAGUCUCGACUUAUAAAAUAAAUAAAAAAUAUUCCCGUUACUUUGCACAUAGUAUAUUAUGCCUGCACUUGCCGCUUGUGCCAAUAAUUUGAUUGACCGUUAAUGAAUGCGUGGCGAGUUCUGGUUUUGCAAUAAAAUCAAAGUAAAAAAAAUCAAGGAACUCAUCCAAGGUGAGACGCAAUGGGCAGCUUAUCGCCCGUUGUGACGUUCGUGAAAUCAUAUGUGCAACUUGAAAGGAUGAAGCGCACGGUAGGAGGAGGCUAAAAGGAGCGAAAGGCCGGAAAAAAAGUGAUAAAGAGCAAAUGAAGAUGACGAGAAAAGAGGGUGGAAAGAGGACAAAGCUAAGAGAAGAAGAAGAAGACGGGGUACCAUAAAUGGAAAUGGCCUAAGGCUGUCCCCAAUCUCGAUCUCGGCCAAGAAACCGUGCGUGCACGCACGGUUGACCUAUCGAAGAAUUCUACGGGACUUUAAGUCUUCGAGUGUGUUCACAUAUGUGGGUGACGUUGUUACCUCCAGGCGAGAUAUCGUGGGAAAUCCGUCUUAUCCUUUUAUUUAUUAGGCGCCAUGGCUCUACGGUCCUCGUGUGCGCGGAACGUCCGUCGCGUCAGCCAGAUUGAGAAUGAAAAUGGAUAACCGGUGAGAGAGUUUCGAAUUUCUACGAGCCGAUAAAUAUUAGCGUACUAUACUUUUAUCCUAUACUGUUCUUUGCUAUGGCAACGGCAAUUUAUGGGAAUGCGUAUACUUUUUUGUCGAUAUACAAUCGAGACCCAUUAUGUCACAACGCACGUACAAUACGUGACACGUGCGCACUUUGAUUUCCCUAUGGAGAUAGUGUAAAUUGUAUUUUGGUAGAGAAUAUAAU